rnacentral:lncRNA from 9 species
AAUUGAUUGUGGAGAGCGUUGGCAACAGCAACAGCGAAGAUGCAGAACACUACAUGGCAGAUAAUGAGAAUUCUGACAAGGACAGUAGCAGUAAGCUGAUACCAAAACGCUCCCUGUUCAUGCGUUUAAGAAAAACAUUUGGGGGGACAGCCUCCGAUGCUGAUGAUGAGCACACCUAGGAAGAGGCAGUGUCAAUGUGGCAGACCGGGUGUGCAAAGAUUGUCAGUUUGGCAUCAAUGACAACCUGGAUGUGAACACCCCCAGCCUAUGCCUCAGCACAUCCAUACCAUCAGGACCUCCACCUAAAUAAGUCCAGAAGCAGCCUCACUCAAUGCUCACCUCCUAGGGCACCUCACUUAGUAUAAUCUCCGUUGUUUAACUGCAUAGAUUUAGUGUAUUAGUUAUAUCCCUAGUUUUAUCUUUUAGUUUUCUCUAUAUGUUCUAUAUGUUCAAUAUUUAUCUCUAUGUUCUGUGUUUUAUGAAAUAAAAUGUUUCUUAUUAAAUUU